rnacentral:rRNA from 1 species
AUGGGCGCCAUGUUCCACCAUGUAUGUUGCAAUCAUUCGCGUCGGCCGUUGGCUAGCUUGGCGCGAACGCGAACGCGAACGAAUAGUUGUGUUGGGUGUGCGUCCAUUUCGCUGGCCUGGCCUUGCUUUCCUCCGACGAUACCCUCUGCGCUGCCUUUACAGCAGCAAGUAGUACUGAUCUCAGUCUCGUCCGGUGGCCGCGCCGUUAAAUCUUACUCGACAAUUCGCUACGCACUCGUCAUUUCGUUCGAGUCAAGUCGUGGCACCGAGGGGGCAUGCACGCGUGCAUGCUCCCAAAGUCUCAAGAUAUGUUAUCCUCCCUUCCUUUGGGUGCUGCACUGGUAG